rnacentral:rRNA from 1 species
GAUGAACGCUGGCGGCGUGCUUAACACAUGCAAGUCGAACGGGAUCUCAGGAGCUUGCUCCUGGGUGAGAGUGGCGAACGGGUGAGUAAUGCGUGACCGACCUGCCCCAUACACCGGAAUAGCUCCUGGAAACGGGUGGUAAUGCCGGAUGCUCCGACUCCUCGCAUGGGGUGUCGGGAAAGAUUAUAUCGGUAUGGGAUGGGGUCGCGUCCUAUCAGGUAGUCGGCGGGGUAACGGCCCACCGAGCCUACGACGGGUAGCCGGCCUGAGAGGGCGACCGGCCACAUUGGGACUGAGAUACGGCCCAGACUCCUACGGGAGGCAGCAGUGGGGAAUAUUGCACAAUGGGCGCAAGCCUGAUGCAGCGACGCCGCGUGCGGGAUGACGGCCUUCGGGUUGUAAACCGCUUUUGAUCGGGAGCAAGCCUUCGGGUGAGUGUAC